rnacentral:rRNA from 1 species
CCUACGGGUGGCAGCAGUGAGGAAUAUUGGUCAAUGGGCGCAAGCCUGAACCAGCCAAGUCGCGUGAGGGAUGACGGUCCUAUGGAUUGUAAACCUCUUUUGUCGGGGAGCAAGGCCCGCCACGUGUGGCGGGUAGGAGAGUACCCGAAGAAAAAGCAUCGGCUAACGCCGUCCAGGCAGCCGCGGUAAUACGGAGGAUGCGAGCGUUAUCCGGAUUUAUUGGGUUUAAGGGGUGCGUAGGCGGAUGGUUAGGUCAGCGGUAAAAUGUCGGUGCUCAACACCGGCCGGCCGUUGAAACUGGUCUUCUUGAGUGAGCGAGAAGUAUGCGGAAUGCGUGGUGUAGCGGUGAAAUGCAUAGAUAUCACGCAGAACUCCGAUUGCGAAGGCAGCAUACCGGCGCUCAACUGACGCUGAGGCACGAAAGCGUGGGGAUCGAACAGGAUUAGAUACCCGGGUAGUC